CACCCGAUGACUGAAAAAGUGUAGGUCUUUUAAACCUAUUAUGGUAAACAACUACCUCUGGUGG
rnacentral:tRNA from 1 species